rnacentral:rRNA from 1 species
GAUGAACGCUGGCGGCGUGCCUAAUACAUGCAAGUCGAGCGAACAGACGAGGAGCUUGCUCCUCUGACGUUAGCGGCGGACGGGUGAGUAACACGUGGAUAACCUACCUAUAAGACUGGGAUAACUUCGGGAAACCGGAGCUAAUACCGGAUAAUAUAUUGAACCGCAUGGUUCAAUAGUGAAAGACGGUUUUGCUGUCACUUAUAGAUGGAUCCGCGCCGCAUUAGCUAGUUGGUAAGGUAACGGCUUACCAAGGCGACGAUGCGUAGCCGACCUGAGAGGGUGAUCGGCCACACUGGAACUGAGACACGGUCCAGACUCCUACGGGAGGCAGCAGUAGGGAAUCUUCCGCAAUGGGCAAAAGCCUGACGGAGCAACGCCGCGUGAGUGAUGAAGGUCUUCGGAUCGUAAAACUCUGUUAUUAGGGAAGAACAAAUGUGUAAGUAACUAUGCACGUCUUGACGGUACCUAAUCAGAAAGCCACGGCUAACUACGUG